CACGUAGGGGGCAAGCGUUGUCCGGAUUUAUUGGGCGUAAAGAGCUCGUAGGCGGCUCUGUAAGUCGGGUGUGAAACCUCCAGGCUCAACCUGGAGACGCCACCCGAUACUGCUGUGGCUUGAGUCCGGUAGGGGAGCGUGGAAUUCCUGGUGUAGCGGUGAAAUGCGCAGAUAUCAGGAGGAACACCAGCGGCGAAGGCGGCGCUCUGGGCCGGAACUGACGCUGAGGAGCGAAAGCGUGGGUAGCAAACAGG
rnacentral:rRNA from 1 species